UACGUAGGGGGCAAGCGUUGUCCGGAUUUAUUGGGCGUAAAGAGCGUGUAGGCGGUUAGGUAGGUCCGUUGUGAAAACUCCGGGCUCAACCUGGAGACGCCACCUGAUACUGCUGUGGCUAGAGUCCGGUAGGGGAGCAUGGAAUUCCUGGUGUAGCGGUGAAAUGCGCAGAUAUCAGGAGGAACACCAGUGGCGAAGGCGGUGCUCUGGGCCGGAACUGACGCUGAGGAGCGAAAGCGUGGGGAGCAAACAGG
rnacentral:rRNA from 1 species